AAAAGACUGGUUCCUAUAUGAUCACUGAAGUUAAGCAAUGUUGAGCCUGGUUGGUACUUCAUUGGGAGACAUCUUCUGAAUAACAGGUGCUGUAUG